rnacentral:misc_RNA from 1 species
UUUCCGUAGGUGAACCUGCGGAAGGAUCAUUCAUAAGUAAGUGUUUUUUACUGCCACUUUUUUAAAAAUCUACUACCCACCUUGUGUGCAACGUAUUGUAUGACAUUUUUAGUCACGUGCAUGUCACAUGAUCGAAUAUCCAAUAUAAUAACACCAAUUUUUUUACCUUGAAUAAAUUUGUCUGAAUAAUAUUAUGAAUAUAAUUCAAAAUAUAACUUUCAACAACGGAUCUCUUGGCUCUC